rnacentral:rRNA from 1 species
UACGAAGGGGGCUAACGUUGUUCGGAUUCAUUGGGUUUAAAGGGUGCGUAGGCGGCCCGGUAAGUCAGUGGUGAAAUCUCCUUGCUUAACAAGGAAACUGCCAUUGAUACUGCUGGGCUUGAGUACAGAUGCUGUGGGCGGAAUAUGACAUGUAGUGGUGAAAUACAUAGAGAUGUCAUAGAACACCGAUUGCGAAGGCAGCUCACAAAACUGUAACUGACGCUGAGGCACGAAAGUGCGGGGAUCAAACAGG